rnacentral:tRNA from 1 species
GCCAGAGUGGCGGAAUGGCAGACGCGACGGACUCAAAAUCCGUUGAGCUCCGGCUCAUAAGGGUUCAAGUCCCUUCUCUGGCACCA